rnacentral:rRNA from 1 species
GAUGAACGCUGGCGGCGUGCCUAAUACAUGCAAGUCGAGCGAACAGACGAGGAGCUUGCUCCUCUGACGUUAGCGGCGGACGGGUGAGUAACACGUGGAUAACCUACCUAUAAGACUGGGAUAACUUCGGGAAACCGGAGCUAAUACCGGAUAAUAUAUUGAACCGCAUGGUUCAAUAGUGAAAGACGGUUUUGCUGUCACUUAUAGAUGGAUCCGCGCCGCAUUAGCUAGUUGGUAAGGUAACGGCUUACCAAGGCAACGAUGCGUAGCCGACCUGGGAGGGUGAUCGGCCACACUGGAACUGAGGCACGGUCCAGACUCCUACGGGAGGCAGCAGUAGGGAAUCUUCCGCAAUGGGCGAAAGCCUGACGGAGCAACGCCGCGUGAGUGAUGAAGGUCUUCGGAUCGUAAAACUCUGUUAUUAGGGAAGAACAAAUGUGUAAGUAACUAUGCACGUCUUGACGGUACCUAAUCAGAAAGCCACGGCUAACUACGUG